GAACCAGGUGGGAACAAGGGCGGACCUGUUGGGAACAGGGGCCUGGCCGUGUAGCUGCAGGGGCGGACCUUACGGGUGGUGGGCGGGCCUUAUGGGUGGUGGGCGGGCCGUGUGCGGCAGGAGGCGGGGCUCGGGCGCCUUGGGGCGGGGCCGAUUGGGGUGUGACCUUUCGCAGGUGGUUGGUCACGUCCAGCAGGCGGUGGGGUCCUCCUGGUGGUGACCUCGCGAGAGGACAGAGGCGGCACCUGACUGCAUGCGCAGAAGUGCGCUGCGUGAGCUCGAGUUAGACCCCGGGCGGGAAGCACUACGGCCCCCGCAGGCGAGUCUGCAGUGGCGAGAGCGCUGAUUCUGGGGACAGCCAGCCUGCCAGCCCAUACAGGUGGCCCCGACACCGCGCCGGCACCCGGUUAGCCGUUACGAAUUCUCAAAAAUGCUUGGAAAUUGACUAUUUUGGAGAAAACACGCAACCUGAGGAGGAUUUGAAUGGCAGAGCUGGAUGAACUUCCUCUCGGCAAACACUUGUGGAACUCCUAAGGUGUGCCAGUGCGGAUUCCAAGAGCAGGGAGGACCGCUCAAGGACAGGCCGGGUCUUUACAGGUGUGUUCAAGGUAGGAUCAUUAGGACGGGCCCUAAUUCAACAUGAGCGACAUCAUCAGAAGAGAAGAGACAGAGAAGACGGGUGCGAGAAGAUGAGGCUGAGACUGUAGUAUGCGGUCCAAACAAAGACGUUCCUGGGGCACCAGAAGGUGGAAGAAGGCGGGACUCUUCUCCAGAGCCUGGUUUCAAACUUCUGGGCUCCAGAAAGGGACAUUUUAGGCACUACAAAUAUGCUGUUGAUACAUACAUCAAAUGAUGGAGGAAACUAUUCACCAGAAGCCCUGUUAAGAGAAGUGGCUCGGCUUGGUCAGACUUUUUGUAGUCUUCAGAGGCUGCCGGCAGGCUAAGUCCCUUCAGUUGUCCUACUCUGUGCAACCCUGCCGGGAGCCGUUGUGGGAGAUCCCACCCAUGACGAGGUCAUGAAGAAAACACCUGACACGCAAGGCCAUUCAGGAUCCCGUCCAUGACGAGGUCAUGAGGAAAAAACCUGGCACACAAGGCCGUUCAGGAUACAAGGGACCCUCCAGGUUGGCCUCGGCCUCUACCCCACCCUGUAUCCUCCCCCCUUUUUCUGCUGUUGUUCUUGUUUGCCCUGCUGCAGAUUCUUGUGUUGCCUGCCGAGAGCUCUCCUGCUCCUCUUUCACUGAAUAAAGACCAACUUAAAAUGCUAACUAAUAAAUCUCCUGGAUGCUGGUACCCUAUGAAGGGGCCAGGGAUGCAGGAGCUGCUUCAAUUCAAACCCUUUUGCUCGCAUUCUGGCUUGUUUGAUAAAUGUAUGCUCCUAUUGCAAAAAAUGCUCGUGAUUUUUCUAAACAUCCUAAGCACAGUACGCUAACAAAAGAAACUGUUAAGCAUAGGUCCCUCCAUGGGGUGAGAAAAGCUCCACAAAUAAUAGUCACAAAUGUGCCUAAUAGAAAAUACUUUAGAUAGAGAUUAGCUGGUGACUUCUUGCAGGUAGUUAACUUUUAGACUAAGAGCCUGUUUUGUGCCAUAUCUGCUGUUUUUGCAGUCCUUCACAUUUCUGUUCUGUAAUAAUGUAAUCCUAUCUAGUUCCCAUGGAGAUGACGCCUAUUAGAAAGAAAAACAGGGUCGGCUACUGAAGUUGCUUAAGUCGCACCAGAUGCAAGCCAUAACAUGUUAGCAGGCCUGAAGGCCAAAUGAUAAGAAAGACUCUUGUGAACGAAAAGUAUGUGGGUGACAUCCUGUUUCUGUUGAAGGUCAAGUUGCUGUAAUGUUUUGCGAUGACCUGUGUGUAAGCAAUAUGCACUUCCCCCAAAGAUGUUGUUAAGGGUAUAAAGGGCCAGUGCAAAAAUAAACUUCAGACUUAGCCCCCGAGCUUUGUCUCACUGUCUCAUUCGCCGACGCUGUUCAUCCUGAGGGUUCCUCUGGAUCCU